GAUGAACGCUGGCUACAGGCUUAACGCAUGCAAGUCGAGGGGAAACGACGGGGAAGCUUGCUUCCCCGGGCGUCGACCGGCGCACGGGUGAGUAACGCGUAUCCAACCUGCCUCUGACUGAGGGAUAACCCGUCGAAAGUCGGCCUAAUACCUCAUGGCAUCGUCUGCGGGCAUCCAACGACGAUUAAAGAUUUCAUCGGUCAGGGAUGGGGAUGCGUCUGAUUAGCUUGUUAGCGGGGUAACGGCCCACCAAGGCUACGAUCAGUAGGGGUUCUGAGAGGAAGGUCCCCCACAUUGGAACUGAGACACGGUCCAAACUCCUACGGGAGGCAGCAGUGAGGAAUAUUGGUCAAUGGGCGGGAGCCUGAACCAGCCAAGUAGCGUGCAGGAUGACGGCCCUAUGGGUUGUAAACUGCUUUUAUGCGGGGAUAAAGUGAGGGACGUGUCCUUCAUUGCAGGUACCGCAUGAAUAAGGACCGGCUAAUUCCGUG
rnacentral:rRNA from 1 species